CCCUUAGAUGUUCUGGGCCGCACGCGCGCUACACUGAUGCAUUCAACGAGCCUAGCCUUGACCGAGAGGUCCGGGUAAUCUUUGAAACUGCAUCGUGAUGGGGCUAGAUUAUUGCAAUUAUUAAUCUUCAACGAGGAAUGCCUAGUAAGCGUGAUCCAUCAAAUCGCGUUGAUUACGUCCCUGCCCUUUGUACACACCGCCCGUCGCUCCUACCGAUUGAGUGUGUUGGUGAGGAGUUUGGAUUGGCCUCGGAAGGUGGUUCGCCACCGUCCGUAGCUGAGAAGUUCUCCAAACCGCCCCACUUAGAGGAAGGAGAAGUCGUAACA
rnacentral:rRNA from 1 species